rnacentral:rRNA from 1 species
UUGCUGCUUUGCUGACGAGUGGCGGACGGGUGAGUAAUGUCUGGGAAACUGCCUGAUGGAGGGGGAUAACUACUGGAAACGGUAGCUAAUACCGCAUAACGUCGCAAGACCAAAGAGGGGGACCUUAGGGCCUCUUGCCAUCGGAUGUGCCCAGAUGGGAUUAGCUAGUAGGUGGGGUAACGGCUCACCUAGGCGACGAUCCCUAGCUGGUCUGAGAGGAUGACCAGCCACACUGGAACUGAGACACGGUCCAGACUCCUACGGGAGGCAGCAGUGGGGAAUAUUGCACAAUGGGCGCAAGCCUGAUGCAGCCAUGCCGCGUGUAUGAAGAAGGCCUUCGGGUUGUAAAGUACUUUCAGCGGGGAGGAAGGGAGUAAAGUUAAUACCUUUGCUCAUUGACGUUACCCGCAGAAGAAGCACCGGCUAACUCCGUGCCAGCAGCCGCGGUAAUACGGAGGGUGCAAGCGUUAAUCGGAAUUACUGGGCGUAAAGCGCACGCAGGCGGUUUGUUAAGUCAGAUGUGAAAUCCCCGGGCUCAACCUGGGAACUGCAUCUG